rnacentral:misc_RNA from 1 species
UGUUGUUCCACUCAAACAUCUAUACGAAGCAAUACUAUUGGAAGAAUCAAUCAGUAUCCUUCAAAGGGUGUUUUUUUCUUGCAAAAAGUUACCAGUUUUGAGAAUCGUGAAUUGGGGUUUAAGCCUUUACUAGCAGUGAGUAAUGUAGCAGUUAAUCAGAAGAGUAGUGCUGAAAACCAAGUUAAUGAUAAACCUAGGUAUAGGUGGGUUAAGAUAGGCUCUGAUGUUACUGAGGAACAGCAAAGGGCUAUAUUGAAGCUUCCACCAAAGAUGAUAAAUAGAUGUAAGGCAUUAAUGCAACAGAUUAUUUGCUAUUCACCUGAAAAGGGUAGUGUGUCACUCUUG